rnacentral:rRNA from 1 species
UAAUGUAUGGGGAUCUGCCCGAUAGAGGGGGAUAACUACUGGGAACGGUGGCUAAUACCGCAUAAUGUCUACGGACCAAAGCAGGGGCUCUUCGGACCUUGCACUAUCGGAUGAACCCAUAUGGGAUUAGCUAGUAGGUGGGGUAAAGGCUCACCUAGGCGACGAUCUCUAGCUGGUCUGAGAGGAUGAUCAGCCACACUGGGACUGAGACACGGCCCAG